AAGGAUGAAACCCGUAGCCCUUCUUCUCCAAUUUUCUCCAAAAUUCAAAUGAUCACAACUUCUUCGUUUCUCAACGAAAUUUAGCGAUUCUUGCGGCCACGGAACGAGGAAACGAUUAUCUACAGAUUUAUGGUUUCAAUUUGAGGUGUUUAUAAGCUUGAAUUGGAUGCAAAUGAUGAUGGAGCUAAGGUUUUCAAGGUAAGAAAAUCAAUUUUAGGUUUCAUGGUUAGUUUUCAUGGAUUGAUGAUAAUAAAGAUUAGAGUUUAUGAUGUGUAAUUGGGGUUUGGUUUAAUUGAUUGAUGCGAGGUGAAAUUGAGCUUUAAUGGAGGAUUGUUGAUGAUGAAUUGAAGCUUGGAAGCUUCGGCCAUGGAGUAUCUUUAAGAUCGGACGAGCGAUUAUCGACAAGAUUUGAGGCAAAUGGAUCGAGAUGUCGUCAAGCUUAUUUGAAGAAUUUGGAUAGCAAGUGGGAUAGUAUGAUAUGAUUUGAAGAGUCAAGCUUCCAAAGUUUUAAUUCUCGGAAGUCAUUUGUACAAGAAGAAAAAGAAGGUUUUCAUUCUAGCAGUCUGCAGUAGUCUAGAUAUUUUAACUAGAAUUUUGUAUAACGCGUUUUAACUCUGAUAUUAUUUGUAAAUGGGGUCACAUGUAUUUUAAUAUAUAAAAUAUGUUUUGAUUUGCGAAAAAUUUACACA